rnacentral:rRNA from 1 species
UACGUAGGGUGCAAGCGUUGUCCGGAAUCAUUGGGCGUAAAGAGCGUGUAGGCGGUCCGGUCAGUCGGUUGUGAAAGUCAAGGGCUCAACCCUUGAAUGCCGGCCGAUACUGCCGGGCUAGAGUCCGGAAGAGGCGAGUGGAAUUCCUGGUGUAGCGGUGGAAUGCGCAGAUAUCAGGAGGAACACCGAUAGCGAAGGCAGCUCGCUGGGACGGUACUGACGCUGAGGCGCGAAAGCGUGGGGAGCAAACAGG